GAUGAAGAACGUAGCGAAAUGCGAUACGUAAUGUGAAUUGCAGAAUUCAGUGAAUCAUCGAGUCUUUGAACGCACAUUGCGCCCCCUGGUAUUCCGGGGGGCAUGCCUGUCCGAGCGUCAUUGCUGCCCUCAAGCCCGGCUUUGUGUUGGGUCUCGUCCCCCUUCCCGGGGGGACGGGCCCGAAAGGCAGCGGCGGCACCGCGUCCGGUCCUCGAGCGUAUGGGGCUUUGUCACCCGCUCUGUAGGCCCGGCCGGCGCUUGCCGAUCAACCAAAACUUUUUUCCAGGUUGACCUCGGAUCAGGUAGGGAUACCCGCUGAACUUAAGCAUAUCAAUAAGCGGAGGA
rnacentral:misc_RNA from 1 species